rnacentral:rRNA from 1 species
GACGUAGGGCGCGAGCGUUGUCCGGAUUUAUUGGGCGUAAAGAGCUCGUAGGCGGCUUGUCGCGUCUGCCGUGAAAGUCCGGGGCUCAACUCCGGAUCUGCGGUGGGUACGGGCAGACUAGAGUGAUGUAGGGGGAGACUGGAAUUCCUGGUGUAGCGGUGAAAUGCGCAGAUAUCAGGAGGAACACCGAUGGCGAAGGCAGGUCUCUGGGCAUUAACUGACGCUGAGGAGCGAAAGCAUGGGGGAGCGAACAGG